rnacentral:rRNA from 1 species
ACGACUACAGAGAGUUUGAUCAUGGCUCAGAGCGAACGCUGGCGGCGUGCCUAACACAUGCAAGUCGAACGUGAAAUGUAGCAAUACAAAGUAAAGUGGCGUACGGGUGAGUAACGCGUAGGUAAUCUACCCUAAAAUCCGGAAUAACCGGCCGAAAGGCUGGCUAAUACCAGAUAGAGCGAUGGGAUCCGUAAUCGGAUCUUUCGGGAAAGGGGGGCCGCAAGGUCUCUCGUUUUAGGAUGAGCCUGCGUCUCAUUAGCUAGUUGGUGAGGUAAUGGCUCACCAAGGCUUUGAUGGGUAGCUGGUCUGAGAGGAUGAUCAGCCACACUGGAACUGAAACACGGUCCAGACUCCUACGGGAGGCAGCAGUGGGGAAUCUUGCGCAAUGGACGAAAGUCUGACGCAGCCACGCCGCGUGAGUGAAGAAGGCCUUCGGGUUGUAAAGCUCUGUCGAGCGGGACGAAAGCGAUUGUGCUCAUACCACAGUCGUCUGACGGUACCGCUAAAGGAAGCACCGGCUAACUUCGUGGCCAGGCCG